rnacentral:rRNA from 1 species
AAUAGAUACCCGGGUAGUCCACGCCGUAAACGAUGAAUACUAGGUGUAGGGGUUGUCAUGACCUCUGUGCCGCCGCUAACGCAUUAAGUAUUCCGCCUGGGGAGUACGGUCGCAAGAUUAAAACUCAAAGGAAUUGACGGGGGCCCGGCACAAGCAGCGGAGCAUGUGGUUUAAUUCGAAGCAACGCGAAGAACCUUACCUAGACUUGACAUCUCCUGCAUUACCCUUAACCGGGGAAGUCCCUUCGGGGCAGGAUGACAGGUGGUGCAUGGUUGUCGUCAGCUCGUGUCGUGAGAUGUUGGGUUAAGUCCCGCAACGAGCGCAACCCCGUAUUGUUAGUUGCUACCAUUAAGUUGAGCACUCUAGCGAGACUGCCCGGGUUAACCGGGAGGAAGGUGGGGAUGACGUCAAAUCAUCAUGCCCCUUAUGUCUAGGGCUACACACGUGCUACAAUGGCAAGUACAACGAGAUGCAAUACCGCGAGGUGGAGCUAACCUAUAAAACUUGUCUCAGUUCGGAUUGUAGGCUGAAACUCGCCUACA